rnacentral:rRNA from 1 species
GAUGAACGCUGACAGAAUGCUUAACACAUGCAAGUCAACUUGAACUUCGGUUUGGGUGGCGGACGGGUGAGUAACGCGUAAAGAACUUACCUCACAGAUAGGGACAACAUUUGGAAACGAAUGCUAAUACCUGAUAUUAUGAUUUUAGGGCAUCCUAGGAUUAUGAAAGCUAUAUGCGCUGUGAGAGAGCUUUGCGUCCCAUUAGCUAGUUGGAGAGGUAACGGCUCACCAAGGCGAUGAUGGGUAGCCGGCCUGGGAGGGUGAUCGGCCACAAGGGGACUGAGACACGGCCCUUACUCCUACGGGAGGCAGCAGUGGGGAAUAUUGGACAAUGGACCAAGAGUCUGAUCCAGCAAUUCUGUGUGCACGAUGAAGUUUUUCGGAAUGUAAAGUGCUUUCAGUUGGGAAGAAAAAAAUGACGGUACCAACAGAAGAAGUGACGGCUAAAUACGUGCCAGCAGCCGCGGUAAUACGUAUGUCACAAGCGUUAUCCGGAUUUAUUGGGCGUAAAGCGCGUCUAGGUGGUUAUGUAAGUCUGAUGUGAAAAUGCAGGGCUCAACUCUGUAUUGCGUUGGAAACUGUGUAACUAGAGUACUGGAGAGGUAAGCGGAACUACAAGUGUAGAGGUGAAAUUCGUAGAUAUUUGUAGGAAUGCCGAUGGGGAAGCCAGCUUACUGGACAGAUACUGACGCUGAAGCGCGAAAGCGUGGGUAGCAAACAGG